UGUUGAGCGAUGGCAAAACCCUAGCUAGCUAGACAUUCACACACAAGCCGACUUGGGUGAGAAUCAGAUAUUCCAAAAACAAAUCCCCUUAAAAUUUCUGUAAUUUCUACUCUUGAAUAUGUGAUCGCGAUGAAGAAGAGAAGCAGCAAGAAGAGUAGGAGGAACAAGAAUAUCCCAAUUAGCAGUCUCAUACCUAAGUUUUUAUGGUCGACUGGACCAGACAUGUAAACACAGAAGGCUUGAUGAGGAUCGCAUUAAGAUAAAGGCUAGCUGCGAUUUAAAAACUUGAAAGAGUGAGGCUGUCGGGAUAUUUUGGGAGUAUAUCUGAAUUGGAAUUUGUAUUCUACGUUUUCAAUAAUGCUACGAAUUUGAAAGAGUUGAUUGUCGACAAAAAUCAUGCAGCUCAACCAAAUCAAAUAGCUCCUGCAUUUCAAAAGCUUCUAGUUAUGUUGAUUUCAUCAUAUUCUAGAUUUGUAUUUGUAUUUUUAAUUUUAUUUUCACUACAGUUUACUUUGUUGACAGUAAAUAAAGAACAAGAACUUGUUUUGAUAAUUCAAUUUGGUUAAUGGUGGUUUUGCUUA